rnacentral:misc_RNA from 1 species
GCCUCAUGCAUGAGUCUUACCUGAAAUAAAGCAUUUUAGUUGAUAAGCUUGAUGAAACAGGUAAAGUCAUAAAGAUUUCAGAAUAUUCUAAAUAACAUGAAUAAUACUUUUUUCUGAUAUAUGGAAUGAGUGUGGAAACAUGAUUAAUGUAUACACGCAUAUGCAUGUAUGUGCAUAUGGGUGAAGAAAGACGAAGAAAAAGAGAGAGAGAGACAGAUGGAAGAUACUCUCCAUCAUAUAUCAUUCAUACUACACAGUCACCUGGACAUGAACACUGCUAUUUGUUCCUUGCAACUCUGGAAUCUAAUAUCUACAGAUGAACUCAACUCAAAAAGGGCUCGUCCUGUGCAUUAAAGUUCCUAUGUUGAUUCCAGUUAACAUCUUAGAAUAACACGUCCACAUAAAUAACUUUAAGAGUUGAUUAAUCAAGGCUUGAAUCAAACAUUUUAAUUUUGUGUCAAACUAAGGCCUUCUCUUGAAUUGCCAUUACAACAACUCUUUGCAAAAGCAUUACCCUUGCAUUCUUAGACCUGCUUGUCAACUGAUUUUGGGAUAAACGAUCUAUGUAUACCUAAAGCAACCUUUAAUUGCUUAGAGCCAAAAUACCCAAAAGGCUGUUAUGUGAAAAAUAACUACAAUAGUACAACCUAUAAAACAGCCUUUUAUUAUAAUUUCAAGUAGUAUUGAUCUACAAUAUGACAGUGGCUACUCAUAAGGAAAGGCAUAUGUAAAAUAACAUAAUAAGAAACAUAAUUUUGGGAAGAUAACGUGCUGGAUGACCCUACUUGUGUUGCUCUGAAAACACAAAGGACAGUGGUACAUGACAGAGAUAGGCAAUGAGUAAAAACACGUAAGAAAUAUGGCUUUGUUAGGUUUGCAGAAUGAUAUGAAAUAUGAUGGAAUGGAAUAGAAUAGUUAUUCCAUGUUGAAUACCUAUUCAAAGGUUUGGUUCAAAUUUAAAUGUGAAAUACCAUUCCAUGGAAAAACAAUUUAAAAUGUUUGGUUCAAAAUUGCCCUUCAACUCCAAGGAUUUGGAUCAUAUACCAAACUGGGAAAGUUUUCACUUUGUUGGAUUUCACAUUUUCAAGUUUGUAAUCCUUAACCCCACAAUUUUACAAAAACCACAUCCAAAACAUCUUAGUCAAAGCAUUCAAAAAGAUACUUCUAUAAAACCAACCACAACUAUAAAAAACUAUAUCGAAUAGAGUAUGUCUUAUACUUGAGAAGUAGCAUCGCUAAGAAAACAAAAGGGACAAUGGGUAGAAUGUAGAGACAGAUACAAGAUAUAGCACACAAGAAAUGUAAUUUUUGAAAUAAAAGCAUACAGGAACUAUGUGGCCUUAUUUCCAAGAUGGGUUAGUGGAUUCUACAGGUCAGGACAUGAAUUGGCAGGUACCUAGCACCCAUGCCAUGGAAAAAGCUAAUCCCUAAUGUAUGUAAAGUUACUACCUUCAAAAAGUAAUAUUAAUAUUAAUCUCAUUAAAAUAUCUGUUGCUUCCCAAAUACAACAAAGUUUCACAUACAAAUGUCAGAAUUGAUGAAAAGCUUAAGCAGCAGCAGAUUACAAACAUCGACAACUAUUGAGAUUAGAUGUUGAUGAGCUACUUUGUGAUGUGCAUUUAUAUAGACAACAUGUUUAUCGUUAGAAGGGCAGCUAAAUUACCAAAAUGUUUUCCCAUAACAUAUCCUUGCACUCUUCGCUGUUCCUAAACUCCAUACUUCAAACUAUGAGACACUCCAUCCCAAUUCCUCUUCAACCAGGAAAUUCCGCUAUUUUAAAAGAUCUAUUUUGAAUAAAGCAUGACAUGGAUUAAUUCAUUGUAGCACUGAUUGUCACGAAAGAGAAACUUGGUUAACUGCAUGCUUUCAAUGAGACAGAAUGUCAGACCAGUUUAUUUUUUAUCCUUUAUAAUCAUGUUUGUAAAUAUAGCUUAUAGUUUCAAGUGUUGAAAGAAAGUGGGAUAACUAAUUCCUCAAAGCAUCUUAG